UCCGGUUUGUCACCGGCAGUCUCCUUAGAGUUCCCACCAUUACGUGCUGGCAAAUAAGGACAAGGGUUGCGCUCGUUACGGGACUUAACCCAACAUUUCACAACACGAGCUGACGACAGCCAUGCAGCACCUGUCACUGCGCUCCCGAAGGCACCCAGGUAUCUCUACCCGGUUCGCAGGAUGUCAAGAGUAGGUAAGGUUCUUCGCGUUGCGUCGAAUUAAACCACAUGCUCCACCGCUUGUGCGGGCCCCCGUCAAUUCAUUUGAGUUUUAACCUUGCGGCCGUACUCCCCAGGCGGUCUACUUAUCGCGUUAGCUGCGCCACUAAGAAAUCAAGUCUCCCAACGGCUAGUAGACAUCGUUUACGGCGUGGACUAC
rnacentral:misc_RNA from 1 species